UACGUAGGGGGCAAGCGUUGUCCGGAUUUAUUGGGCGUAAAGAGCGUGUAGGCGGCCAAGCAGGUCCGCUGUGAAAACUCGAGGCUCAACCUCGAGACGUCGGUGGAAACCGUUUGGCUAGAGUCCGGAAGAGGAGAGUGGAAUUCCCGGUGUAGCGGUGAAAUGCGCAGAUAUCGGGGAAGAACACCCGUGGCGAAGGCGGCUCUCUGGGACGGUACUGACGCGUGAGACGCGAAAGCGUGG
rnacentral:rRNA from 1 species